rnacentral:rRNA from 1 species
AUACGUAGGUGGCAAGCGUUGUCCGGAUUUACUGGGCGUAAAGGAUGUGUAGGCGGAUAUUUAAGUGAGAUGUGAAAUCCCCGGGCUUAACUUGGGGGCUGCAUUUCAAACUGGAUGUCUAGAGUGCAGGAGAGGAAAGCAGAAUUCCUAGUGUAGCGGUGAAAUGCGUAGAGAUUAGGAAGAACACCAGUGGCGAAGGCGAUUCUCUGGACUGUAACUGACACUGAGGCACGAAAGCGUGGGUAGC